AUUAAUUUUCUGUCACUAUGAAAUAUUUUAACUUAUAUUUUUGAAAUAAUAUAUAUUGUUAUACCUAUUAAUAUUACUGUUCGAAGGUUUUGAAGUAUCAUCAUGGAAUUAUGCCUUCAUAGGAGUACUUGCAAUCUUUUCGGUGGAUCAUUGAAUAAUAGAGGCAAAUCUACUCUUCCGUUGAAUGCUGACAUUGAAAUAGCCAGACCGGCAUGGCAAGAGGUGGUGGCAAAUCAUUCCAAAUACGGGAAGCCAUGAAUUUGAAACUGGAUCUAUAUCUUGUUGUCUUGUAGUAUGGUAUAUUUAAUAAGUUUUGAGAGGCAAAACGUGUACAUUUUAAAUUAGAACUUCCGCUCCAGGACAAUUUUUCAAAUAAAUAUUCAGGGCGCUUGCUAUAGAUUAUUCUCUUUAUACUACAGGCAUAAUGCAAUUCUCUCCUAG